rnacentral:ncRNA from 4 species
CAGUGCAAUGUCAAAAGGGCAU